ACUCCUACGGGAGGCAGCAGUGGGUAAUAUUGCACAAUGGGCGCAAGCCUGAUGCAGCCAUGCCGCGUGUAUGAAGAAGGCCUUCGGGUUGUAAAGUACUUUCAGCAGUGAGGAAGGCGGGUACGUUAAUAGCGUGCUCGUUUGACGUUAAGCUGCAGAAGAAGCACCGGCUAACUCCGUGCCAGCAGGCCGCGGUAAUACGGAGGGUGCGAGCGUUAAUCGG
rnacentral:rRNA from 1 species